ensembl:lncRNA
UGUGGUGGUGUGUGGUGGGGUGUGGAGGUGGUGUGUGGAGGUGGUGUAGGGGGGUGUGGAGGUGUGUAGUGGUGUGUGGAGGUGGUGUAGUGGUGUGUGGAGGUGGGUGUAGUGGUGUGUGGAGGUGGUGUAGUGGGGUGUGGAGGUGGUGUAGUGGGGUGUGGAGGUGGUGUAGUGGUGUGUGGAGGUGUGUAGUGGUGUGUGGAGGUGGUGUAGUGGUGUGUGGAGGCGUGUGGAGGUGGUGUAGUGGUGUGUGGAGGUGUUGUAGUGGGGUGUGGAGGUGGUGUAGUGGUGUGUGGAGGUGUGUAGUGGGGUGUGGAGGGGGUGUAGUGGUGUGUAGUGGUGUGUGGAGGCGUGUGGAGGUGGUGUAGUGGGGUGUGGAGGUGGUGUAGUGGUGUGUGGAGGUGUGUAGUGGUGUGUGGAGGUGGUGUAGUGGGGUGUGGAGGCGUGUGGAGGUGGUGUAGUGGUGUGUGGAGGCGUGUGGAGGUGGUGUAGUGGUGUGUAGUGGUGUGUGGAGGUGGUGUAGUGGUGUGUGGAGGUGGUGUAGUGGGGUGUGGAGGUGGUGUAGUGGUGUGUGGAGGUGGUGUAGUGGUGUGUGGAGGUGUGUAGUGGUGUGUGGAGGUGGUGUAGUGGUGUGUGGAGGUGGUGUAGUGGUGGUGUGGAGGCGUGUGGAGGUGGUGUAGUGGUGUGUGGAGGCGUGUGGAGGUUGUGUAGUGGGGUGUGGAGGUGGUGUAGUGGUGUGUGGAGGUGGUGUAGUGGUGUGUGGAGGUGGUGUAGUGGUGUGUGGAGGUGUGUGGAGGCGUGUGGAGGUGGUGUAGUGGUGUGUGGUGGUGGUGUG